GCCAGACUCCUACGGGAGGCAGCAGUGGGGAAUAUUGCACAAUGGGGGAAGCCCUGAUGCAGCGACGCCGCGUGAGUGAAGAAGUAUUUCGGUAUGUAAAGCUCUAUCAGCAGGAACGAGACAAGACGGUACCUGACUAGGAAGCCCCGGCUAACUACGUGCCAGCAGCCGCGGUAAUACGUAGGGGGCAAGCGUUAUCCGGAAUCACUGGGUGUAAAGGGAGCGUAGACGGCUGAGCAAGCCUGAAGUGAAAGGCGGGGGCCCAACCCCCGGACUGCUUUGGGAACUGUACGGCUGGAGUGCAGGAGAGGUAAGUGGAAUUCCUAGUGUAGCGGUGAAAUGCGUAGAUAUUAGGAGGAACACCAGUGGCGAAGGCGGCUUACUGGACUGUAACUGACGUUGAGGCUCGAAAGCGUGGGGAGCAAACAGGAUUAGAUACCCCAGUAC
rnacentral:rRNA from 1 species